GCGUCCAAACACGCCAGACUCAGGGAAUGCGCCGAGCAACAACAGGCGAGUGCGCCAGAGGGCUCAAGCAGCGCCUAAACACAGAGGAAGACUAGACAGGAGGACUAGGCCAGGGAAACAAUGGACUACUCUAUUAAGACAGGGACUACUAGACUAAGACGGUGGCUACAGGACUAGGACGGGGGCUUACGAAACUAAGACGGAGGCUACAAGACUAGGACAGGGGCUACAAGACUAAGACAGGGCUCGAGGGGAUCUACAGGGGCUAACGGAAAAACCAAAACAAACCCGAAAAUUAGAAGAGGGACCGAAACCCAGAACUAAUACUAAUAAACCAAGUAAAACAAGGAGACGAGGGCUGGUACAACUAAACUGAAGAAAAACUAAAUAACUACAGCUAAAAAAUAGAAACUCGAGAAAGAUAGGAAAUCUAGGGUGAAAACUAAAACUCAGGACCAGAAUACGAAAGCCUAAAGGGAAACCUAGAACACUUGACCCGAACAGAAAAUAAACCCAAAGCAAAACAGAAACUCAAAUACUUCUAAAGAGAACAAAAACCUGCUAAAUAAUUCCAAAACACAAAAUUCCUAGAAAAACCAAACCUAUAUAAAUUAUCAAAAAACUGAAAAUCUAAUCAACUUAAGAACUCUAGAGGAACACUAGAAAACUGUAAAACCAAAGAAUACUAAGUAAUUCAAAAACUCGGGACCAAAAUAACUCAAAAACAACAACUAGAGAACUGGAAGUCUAACUAAAACGAGAAUCUGAAAAAAUAAAACUGAACUAGGUAACUAAGAUCUAAGGUGGGAACUGAGACACGCAGGACGUUGAGAGCGGGGACCUUGAGACACGGACAGGAAGUUGAGCACGCAGACAGGAACUGAGGCGGGGCGGAUCCUACCAGCUUCCGCACCUAGGCUCUGUGCGUGCUCGGGUUCAUCCUUUGGGCCGGCCCGUAACUGUCAUGAUUUGUCUUUGGAUGAACCCGGACACAGCACGCACACACAGAGCUAGUUCUUGAAGUGAGUUUUAUUGCACAGAAUGAUGAGUGAAUGACGAGUGGAACCAGAGUCUUUAUGGACGGAGGUGAAGGGUGCGGAAGCUGGCUGGCAGGAGGAGCACGGGAGACUGACCCGGAGGAGACUCGGGAGCGGAGGACUUGAAGGCUUGAGCUGAGUAGCCUGACUGGAGAGCGUAGAACUGAGGAGCUGAAGACCGUGGAGCAGAGUUGCAGAGCUGAAGACCGUGGAGCGGAGUUGCUGAACUGAAGAUCGUGGAGCGGAGUUGCUGAACUGAAGAUCGUGGAGCGGAGUUGCUGAGCUGAAGAUCGUGAAGCAGAGUCGCUGAGCUGAAGACCGUGGAGCAGAGUCGCUGAGCUGAAGACCGUGGAGCAGAGUUGCAGAGCAGAAGACCGUGGAGCUGAGCCGUAGAGCUGAAGACUGUGGAACUGAGCUGAGCCGAAGACCGUGGAGCUGAGUGGAUUCUUGGAGGUGCAGAAAGGCGCGGGCGCAGGAACUCUGGCAACCAGACGUGGGAAAAUCUCUGGUUGCUGAAGAUGUUUCUGUGCAGCCGAGAGGAUUCUUGGAGGUGCAGACAGGCGCGGGCGCUGGAACUCUGGCAACCAGACGUGGGAAAGUCUCUGGUUGCCGAAGACGUCACCGUGCAGCCGAGAGGAUUCUUGGAGGUGAGGGCGCAGGAACUCUGGCAACCAGACGUGGGAGGAUCUCUGGACAGAGGCGCAACAGAGGAUGAAACAGACAGAGACUGAACGGGAGUGAACACUACGGGCCGGCAACGAGAGCAGAGAGAGGUAUGUUUAAAUAGGGGUGGGACCAGGUGGAGGCAGUUGCGGGUUAAUUGCAGCCUGACAGGUGGAACCCAUCAGGCUGCGCAUUAACGAGAGAGAGGGAGAGAGGCUCAGCAUGCAGCCCUCACGCUGCAUCCUGACAACCUUCACACUUCUACCAUUACCAGAGGGUAGGCAGACAGUGGGGGGAAGGUGGGUAUAUGCUCUCAAGGAGGAUGAUAAAGGGAAUGAGACAUAUAAAGCAAGGUAUGUAGUGAAGGGAUACAGUCAGGUAGAAGGACUUGACUAUUCAGAGACAUUCUCUCCGACUGCAAACUUGACAUCACUACGUAUGUUGAUGCAAUUAGCUGCACAACAUGACCUUACACUUAACCAGAUGGACGUUAAAGCCGCAUACUUACAUGCACCCAUUGACCAUGAAAUAUACAUGGAUCAACCCGAAGGUUUCCAGGUUAAAUCACAGAAUGGCGUGUGACUUGUGUGUAAGUUGAACAAAUCUAUCUAUGGGCUCAAACAAUCUGGGAGGAACUGGAAUAUGAUGCUCCAUGAUUUCCUGAUAUUGAAUGAGUUUGUGCAGAGCCAAGCUGAUCAUUGUAUCUACACAAACUUUUCUGACAAAGGAAAAGUGAUUUUAUUAGUGUGGGUUGAUGAUAUAGUUGUGGCUGCAAGCAAUGAGACGUGUUUAAGAGAGGUCAAAGAGAAACUGAAAAGAAAGUUUAAAAUGAAAGAUCUUGGCCAUCUCACACAUUUUAUCGGGAUCAAUUUCACACAAAAAGAAGGCUCUAUCAAAAUGAGCCAGUCCAAAUAUAUUGAGAAGAUACUGGAAAGGUUUGGUAUGGCUGAGUGUAAACCCAGAGCCACUCCUUUUUUUUUUAAACAUUUCUUUAUUGUGGUUUUGUUCUUUUAUACAAACAACAACCCCAAACCCCAGGCACAAACUGGAAUAAUAUAGAAAGUCCCCCUGAAAGCAUGAGCUCCAUAAAAGUGUCCACCUAAUAACAGUCCACCUUUAUACCCAAUAAAGGUACAAAGUCUCAUGAAGAUAGAAAGUCCUUGUUGUGUAGUCCAAAAACAAUGCAAAUGUAUGCUCGAGUACUUUACGUAAUAUGUCUAGCUGAUUCAUGUCUCAGCCUCAAUGCAAUAUACACAAACAAAAAACAAUCCGUGAAGUACUGAUAAGGUUGUGGAUUCUUGAAAGAGAACAUGACAAUACAUACAUACAUAAAAAGAAAUACAAUGAAAAAAACAAAAAACAAA